GCCAUUCCUGUGAUUGCUAACGAUAUCAGGCUGUGAAAGCACCUUAAUGGUCUGACUGGUCACUCUGCUGGCAGAGGGCUGUGACACAGGAGAGCCCAUCCACCUGUACCCGCAAUCUUGUCCUUUUGGUCACGACCCAAAGCUCAUGAAUGGGUGAGAGUGGGAACGUAGAUCAACCAGUACAUUGACACAAACCGGGGUGCACCCACUGGGAGAAAAUGCAACCUCCUCACACAGCUGCCCAAGGGGCGAUUCGAAUCAGAUCUUCCCAAUUUUGGUUGUGUCCUUGCUGAUCCGUACAAAGCACUCCCACCACUGCUGGAUUCUUCAUGCUGCACACAAGGCAGGAAAAACGGCGUUCAAUGUGUAAAGACGAACGAAGACAAAGCACAGACUGACAAUGACUUACGUGUCAUCAAGGUGUUGCUCUAAGGUCGACUCCAUUCGAAAUCAACUGAAAACGCCAAAUAGUUCAGCUUAUUUUUGGAAGCUAUGCUGUUCUCGAAGAGAUUUCCGGCUUUAGUCAGCUGCCUGUGACGUAACUACGAGAACACUCGAGGGUCAAAACACACCAAACUGGAGUUUUUUUUAUUGCGACAGUAUUUUUAUUUCACAGCUAUUAAA